GAGGCAGUCAUCAGUGACAGAACCACCUACUACUCAAGUACUGAUCGACUACUAAGCUGUCCCUUUGCAUAGGUAGCAAGUGAGAAUCAAUGGCGACAUAUAUGGGCUCCCAGCUAGUCAUGUCGCACGGGAAGGGACGUCUGUUGAGCUCUCGUUCCUCCUCAUCCUCCGUCGGGCGAAUAACUGUUACGCCUCUGGCUGCUCAAGUAGCCCGAGUCACUCGGGCCGUCCAGCAUCCUCCACCCGGUCCAGUUUCAGAUGGACCUCGUCCUGAUGGUUCAGGGAGCAUACUUCAGGUCGAUCGGGCCAAGAAGACGGACAAGGUUCAUACGGGUUGUGGUGACCCUCCCUGCGGAAAGCGUCAUCCAAGGCCAAAGAGGAUGGCUCGACAAGGCCAAGAGAAAGAGGAAGCCCAAUCGCCGUUUUGAUCCAACUACGUGGGAGCUGUGAGCCGAGGGCUGAGACGAGUGAGGCAUCUGAGUUAUCAUUUGGCUGUAAUCUGUUCUCCCCUUCCCCUGUUCCCCUGUUCCCCUCUCGAACCUACCCUUCUUCCUCCUCCAGAUCCCCAAUCUCCUUCCCCAAAAACCUUGUAUCUGGAUAUGAAUCAGUGCUAGUUAGCAAAGAGGAACCUAACAGAAACUAAUGGCGUCUA